UACGAAGGGGGCUAGCGUUGUUCGGAAUUACUGGGCGUAAAGCGCGCGCAGGCGGUCUUCCAAGUCAGUGGUGAAAGCCCGGAGCUCAACUCCGGAAAUGCCAUUGAAACUGUGAGACUGGAGUACGAGAGAGGUGAGUGGAAUUCCCAGUGUAGCGGUGAAAUGCGCAGAUAUCAGGAAGAACACCCGUGGCUAAGGCGGCUCUCUAGUACGGUACUGACGCUGAGACGCGAAAGCGUGGGGAGCGAACAGG
rnacentral:rRNA from 1 species